UACGUAGGGGGCGAGCGUUAUCCGGAUUCACUGGGUGUAAAGGGAGCGUAGACGGCCAAGCAAGCCAGGGGUGAAAGCCCGGGGCCCAACCCCGGGACUGCCCUUGGAACUGCAUGGCUGGAGUGCGGGAGGGGCAGGCGGAAUUCCUGGUGUAGCGGUGAAAUGCGUAGAUAUCAGGAGGAACACCGGCGGCGAAGGCGGCCUGCUGGACUGCGACUGACGUUGAGGCUCGAAAGCGUGGGGAGCAAACAGG
rnacentral:rRNA from 1 species